AAGUCGAGGGAGAACCAUUCGAUCCGUAAGGACCGGAUGGGGAAACCGGCGAACGGGUGCGUAACACGUGAGGAACCUGCCCCGAAGACCGGGAUAGCCCGAGGAAACUCGGAUUAAUACCGGAUACCCUCUUUGGACCACAUGGUCUGCUGAGGAAAUGGUCCGCCGCUUCGGGAUGGCCUCGCGGCCUAUCAGCUUGUUGGUGAGGUAACGGCUCACCAAGGCAAAGACGGGUAGCUGGUCUGAGAGGACGAUCAGCCACACUGGGACUGAGACACGGCCCAGACUCCUACGGGAGGCAGCAGCAGGGAAUAUUGCACAAUGGGCGAAAGCCUGAUGCAGCGACACCGCGUGCGGGAUGAAGGCCCUCGGGUUGUAAACCGCUUUCAGGAGGGACGAAACUGACGGUACCUCCAGAAGAAGGCCCGGCCAACUACGUGCCAGCAGCCGCGGUAAUACGUAGGGGCCAAACGUUGUCCGGAUUUAUUGGGCGUAAAGGGCUCGUAGGCGGUUCAAAAAGUCGAUCGUGAAAGCCCGGGGCUCAACCCCGGGACGCCGGUCGAAACUGUUGUG
rnacentral:rRNA from 1 species